GUGGAGGACAAUAUUUUGAUGGUGGUUUCUUGGGUGAAGGUGGUGGUGGUGAUGGGUAUAUUAGUGGUGGUGGUGGUGGAGGUGAGGGGUAUACAAUUGGUGGUGGUGGUGAAAGGUAUUCAAUUGGUGGUGGUGAUAGAUUUGGUGUACCACAUGGUGUGCACUUCUCAUCACUACUAGGUGUGGUGGAAGGUAUUGUGGUAUCAUCAAGCUUCCUUGUUUGGAUUG
rnacentral:lncRNA from 1 species